UACGUAGGUGACGAGCGUUAUCCGGAUUUACUGGGCGUAAAGCGCUUGUAGGUGGUUUCGUAAGUUGGACGUUAAAUCUCCCGGCUUAACUGGGAGAGGCCGUUCAAUACUGCGAGGCUAGAGGAUGUCAGAGGAAAGUAGAAUUCCCGGUGUAGUAGUGAAAUGCGUAGAUAUCGGGAGGAAUACCCGUGGCGAAGGCGGCUUUCUGGGACAUUCCUGACACUGAGAAGCGAAAGCUAGGGGAGCAAACAGG
rnacentral:rRNA from 1 species